rnacentral:rRNA from 1 species
GAUGAACGCUGGCGGCGUGCCUAAUUCAUGCAAGUCGAGCGAACGGAUAAGGAGCUUGCUCCUUUGAAGUUAGCGGCGGACGGGUGAGUAACACGUGGGUAACCUACCUAUAAGACUGGAAUAACUUCGGGAAACCGGAGCUAAUUCCGGAUAACAUUUGGAACUGCAUGGUUCUAAAGUAAAAGCUGGUUUUGCUAUCACUUAUAGAUGGACCCGCGCCGGAUUAGCUAGUUGGUAAGGUAACGGCUUACCAAGGCAACGAUACGUAGCCGACCUGAGAGGGUGAUCGGCCACACUGGAACUGAGACACGGUCCAGACUCCUACGGGAGGCAGCAGUAGGGAAUCUUCCGCAAUGGACGAAAGUCUGACGGAGCAACGCCGCGUGAGUGAUGAAGGUUUUCGGAUCGUAAAACUCUGUUAUUAGGGAAGAACAAAUGUGUAAGUAACUGUGCACAUCUUGACGGUACCUAAUCAGAAAGCCACGGCUAACUACGUACCAGCCGCCGCGGUAA